GACGAACGCUGGCGGCAUGCCUAAUACAUGCAAGUCGAGCGGACGUUUCAGAGAGCUUGCUCUUUGAAACGUUAGCGGCGGACGGGUGAGUAACACGUGGGCAACCUGCCCUACAGAUGGGGAUAACUCCGGGAAACCGGGGCUAAUACCGAAUAAACAGUUGGUUCGCAUGAACCAACUCUGAAAGACGGUUUCGGCUGUCACUGUAGGAUGGGCCCGCGGCGCAUUAGCUAGUUGGUGGGGUAAUGGCCUACCAAGGCGACGAUGCGUAGCCGACCUGAGAGGGUGAUCGGCCACACUGGGACUGAGACACGGCCCAG
rnacentral:rRNA from 1 species